GGGGGCGACAGGUUUCGACUUUGCGCCGGAUUGCAUGGGUUGCAGGCGGAGUUGCUCAGACUCCUAAAACGGGGCAACAAAUUUAACUGCCAACACUUAUCAAGAGCAAGUCGCUCUCGUAGCCUAAGGGCUGCAAGCUCACGUAACGCCUGUCCGUUGGCCUACGUCUGCUUCAUUUAAACGGAUGUUUGUAUUUGGGUUCGCUCGUUCCACAAUGCAAACUGGCAUAAUUCGAGAUCGAAGGCCGGAUUCCGCUGUUUCGUCGGGGCCGAUCCUUUUAAAUUAAAGCGAAACUAAGCCUGUAGAAGCCUAUGUUGGUCACGUGAAGGACGAGAGUUCAACUCUCUCCGCCUCCACCA
rnacentral:tmRNA from 1 species